rnacentral:rRNA from 1 species
UCUCUUGCCAACUGACUUGUGCGGACAGCGUUUCGUGCGUAAGUUUCUAGAAGUCAGCAGCCACGUGG